GACGAACGCUGGCGGCGUGCUUAACACAUGCAAGUCGAACGGAAAGGCCCUGCUUUUGUGGGGUGCUCGAGUGGCGAACGGGUGAGUAACACGUGAGUAACCUGCCCUUGACUUUGGGAUAACUUCAGGAAACUGGGGCUAAUACCGGAUAGGAGCUCCUGCUGCAUGGUGUGGGUUGGAAAGUUUCGGCGGUUGGGGAUGGACUCGCGGCUUAUCAGCUUGUUGGUGGGGUAGUGGCUUACCAAGGCUUUGACGGGUAGCCUGCCUGAGAGGGUGACCGGCCACAUUGGGACUGGGAUACGGCCCAGACUCCUACGGUAGGCAGCAGUGGGGGAUAUUGCGCAAUGGGCGGAAGCCUGAUGCAGCAUCGCCGCGUGGGGGAUGACGGCCUUCGGGUUGUAAACCGCUUUCGCCUGUUACGAAGCGUGAGUGACGGUAAUGGGUAAAGAAGCACCGGCUAACUACGUG
rnacentral:rRNA from 1 species